AAGCCAAACACUCCUCGCACUUCAGUGAGUGCAACUAGUUGCCUCUCACGCACAGGAACGUAAAAAGUUUCCCUGGCAAGGGACGGGACUUCCCUAAGAAAAGAAGAAGCCAACACUAUAAAGUAAUCCUGAGUUUCAAUGAUCAAGUAUGAUCAAAUGCCACACGACAGGACUGGUUGGCAUACCCUUUUAUAGGAUACAUUUGUCUCCUUUCUCUCAAGCUGGUCAGUGUGGAUGAAGGCAAAGUCCUUUCCUGCUCUGAAACUGAACACUCUUCUCUGCAAGAAAUUCAGCAGCUGCAUUUGGUCCUCUUUGCUCCAUUGUGUGGGGAAGCGGAAGAAAAUCCCUAAUUGCUUAGUCACAUUACAUACUCUUACCCUUCACCUUGUAUUAUCUUCUGACUAUAGUUUCACUGAGUGGAUUGAGUGGCUGUUGUUCAACCAGAUGCAUCACCCUCCUUCUGUCAAGUUAACUUCACUCUCCAAAGGGUCUAAGUAAAAGUUUUAAAAGAGGAGGCAAAAGUUAGGCCCUGUAUUUGGAGAGAGAUGUGAGAGAAAAGUCUUGGGCUUCAGAAGUCAUGAAUGUUAGAAGCUUUUGAGGUCAGCAAGUCACCAAAAAGGAGAGGGAAAAAGGGGACUUUAGUGAGUGGCAGCUCGGUGGUCUGUUGUGAGGUACUCGAACAUGGUAAUGAAGGUUUUGUGAAGUCUGGUUUCCUUCCACUUCAAUGAAGUGAAUUCCUGUUGUGGGGAACAGCCCUGCAGUAACAUUGGUCGUUUUAAUGGACAUAUCACUUUAAAGCAAGCUCUUAACCAUUUGUUGCACUCCCUCUUAAAAUGUACAGCUGACUUGAAAAGAUUGUCUGUAUCUUUGUUCAGUUUAACUUUCUUCAAAUUGAGGAGGUGUGGGAGGCCUGCAGUGCUGGGACAUGGUAUGGUCCCAAGGCAAAUCUCCCAGUAAGGAGCCUGGUCUUGAUGCCAUCAAGCGCUGUUUUGCUGUUGGUUUUGGUGAGGGUGGGCAGGGUCACAGCAAAACUGAGCAUCGCUUGUACUGAAGGAAGUCCUACAGAAACUGAUCUCAUAAUCAGACAAUUUUUUGCAAAGUUUUAUUGUAAGUAUGACUCACAGGCAGUAAUUAAAGGGUGAUUUUUGGUUAAAUCAAUGUGUUUAGGCCGAAGUAAAUUCCCAUGAGCUCUGUGGAAGUGAUUUCAGAAGGUGGCAAAUCUGAAAUGUAGUAAAAUACAUUGAUUCACAUAAAUGACUCUGUAUGACCAUAGAGAAGGUCAUGCUAGAAAUAGUCCUAACAGAGCCCAAGGAAGGGCUGCAGGAUCCACUUUUACACCAGAAUAGAAGAAUAAUGCCUUAUCCAUUUAAAGCAACAUGGGAAUGUAAGUAGGCAGGAUGUAAUUAUCUAGACUGGUGUUUGGCCAGGCACUCCUACACUGGCAAAAACUGCCAUGGGGUGUUUAAUGCCCACAGGUGCUCAGUAUCCUUGGUUUUACCUCUUAAUUAAAGACAGCACUUGUGAUCAUAUUCUUUCUGCUGGUUCAAUACUGCGUCAGCAGAAGAAUGCCACACUGCACAAAUACCAUUUCACAGAGUAACAUGGAAUUUCCUUGGAAGUCUUCCAUGCAAAUACUACAGACCCAACCCUACUUACCUUGUGAAAUCUAGUGAGGUUACAGCCAUAAGCAGUGUGGCCCCAGAGAAUCAUGUUUGCAUAUGUUCCUAAAAACAAUAUGGGGUUUGGAAUAUUAAUAAAUAAUUUUAAAAUUAAACCAAUAUUCUUUUGUAUUGCAUCUCAGCGACAACAAGGUUGUGUUGCUGUUUAAGCAAAGGAAUUAUGGUAAAGUUAUUCUGAGAAAAGCUAAUGACAGAGAGUCACUAUUUUGGCAAUGGAUCAUUAUUAUGAUUUAAGUGCCUACGAUGUCCUGCAUCCAGAUGAGGUACCUGUUGCAAAUUUUCUUUUGCAAAAGCAGGGCUUUGAAAUAUGGUUUCUUAUUUUCAGGUUCAAGUAUGAAAUCC